AGUUUUGUAACCUACCGGAUUCUUUUAAGGGGGCGGGAUUUAACGGAACGAAAACAGAUUGAGAGCCCUAGUUAGUUUAUCAAAGAAACGCCAAGAGAUGGUUGUAAGUUCAGUACAUCGGUUAAAUAACUGUCCAUUGAAGUUAAGAGAUCGGAGGAUUUACGUCAGUGUGUAACCCUGCUGAAACGGGAGAGUUAACGGUGUGUUGUAGCUGUUUCACUCGGUAGCUAACGGUAAUGAAGCUAACGCCAUAGCCACCUGUGGACGGUUGCUAAUGAGCUUAGCUGGCUAUUGUAACUAUCACCCCCAGGAGCUGGGAGAAGAGACUGUGCGUGCCAAAACCCACCAAGCUUGCCACGUUUUUGAAUGGUGUACAUCGGAUGGUGCUACGUGAUGCUGCGGAGCUUCCCGCUGGACAGAGGGUUCGAAAAGACCGCUACUGUCAGCUUUCUGAGUUACCGAGGAACAAGUGAGAGGUCGCUAAGAGAUGACAAAGGCAAAGAAUGUUUUCCAUAUAAUCACUCUGCCAAAAAGCAUCAUCUCUCAGGAGAGAUAAUAGAUCACUCAAUCAAUUACUGUGGCAAGGAUCAGAGACGCCUGCCAAGAUGCCUGCUUGGCCCUUCUGAGAAGGCACAUCUGGAUCAAAAGACACAGCUGCGCCAGUCAUGAUUGCAGCUGCUUAAUACCACAGGGCACAGCUCAAUGGCUGAAGAGGGGUUUAAGGGAACAUCAGACGGCUCAUCUACAGCAGGCCCAUAUCUAAAUAAUCUUACUGUGUAAGCUGUGUGGCAGAGGAAUUCAAGGUCACCCGAGCCAGAUAAGUCCUGCUCUACCAAGACUCGGUUGACACCAAAGUCUCUUCAGCAGGGGUAGAAGUCAGAAAAGGAAGGUAGUGGCGCAUCUAGGAUGCAGUGAAACGGGUGGAGGCAAGGCUGCGGCACAACACCCUGGUGGGCCCGGUGGCUACAGGGCGGGCCGGGCUUGGUAGCAAGCCGAAAGCCGUGCUACAGCAAUGCCAGAGGAAAGGAGAAGCGGAACUUAUUCAGAAGGAGGUACGAGCCAAGGUAGAGUCUGCUAUUUUCUUUCUUUCCAUAGCUCUUGGUGUUUGUUGUACUCGCAACUUACAUGACAUUAUCUUCUUCCUGCUUGUCUCCCUAUUAGAAAAUAAAAUUAGUUUAGGUGUCUGCAAACCCAAUUACUGGCUGAUAGAGGGUAUCCGAUGUGUCACCGUAUGGGUAAAAGGUUGAGGCAACACCAUUGAUUUAGGUCGGGCCUGAUUAGAUGUUGGAAAGUGAGUUUAAUUUUUCAGGAACUGUCACUUCAACAAUGGUGUAGUUAAGCACAAAGGGUUGUUUCAUUUCAAUGAUGGGACAAAAAUGCAGUUAGACAGGUUAGACAAUGACACAGAUGUGUCAUUCCCAUCUGUUAAAUUGCCACCAUACUGUUUACUGUAGAUAACGAUCACAGAAAUGUGGUUAGCUUCCAAUUUUUGAAUGAAGCUAGAGAGAAUAAGCUACGCUAUUGUGCUGUUAAUGUAAAUAAACACCUGUGGCUAUUUUUCAAAGUAAACCCUUUUUAAUGAAAGGUUUUUAUUGUAAAGUAGCGACACCCAGUUAAGUGUAGAUUUUAGUUGAGAUUAGAAGUUGGUAUGAGUCUGUAUUUUUACUUUUUUUCAAUUUUAUUUUUAUUUUUUUACUUUUUACACUUUUUUGUCAGUGGGUUGGUUUUACAGUUCACUGGUCAGAUUUACAGUACAGGCAAGUGUAAUUUUAGUGAGCCUUAAACCUCAUAGCACACACAGUAUACCUUUUCCAAUUUGUCUAAUACCCCUAGGAUUAGGAUGGAUGGAUGAGUCAGUGUUGUCAUACAAACAUUCAGAAAUGGCUACUGUAACACUGGGAGCAGACAGCAACAAAUGGGUCAAACGUCAUAGAGAAAAAAUAUAAGUUUUUGAAUAAAGAUUAAACGACAGCAGACACUUACCACACAACCAAAAAAAGGGAAAUAAAUCUAAAAUAAGCCUGAGUCUAAUUUAAGUCAGCUCUAUUAAUUUACAGUAGUUUUGAUUCGGCUCACCUCCCAUCCCUUCAUCAGAGAGUUUCUUGUGGUUCCAGUGAAAACCCCGUUAAUGUGAAGGUCAGUACACUUCCUAAAGCCACACAUUUUAUUGCUGUGUUAAAUGAGAAUGGCAUAAGCUGGGCAGUGCAUCCCUCACCCCCACUUUCCACAGGAUCCGGAACAGCUGCGGAUCCGCUCUGGAACGGCGUUGGAGUAAUUUGGUUUCCAUUAAAGUCAGUGUGUGUGUAUUUCCACGGACUACGGAAUGGCUGCGUCCCAGCUCUGGCGAUCCGCAGCUCUUUGGAGCAGAUGCGCAGAACUUCUAUUUUUGUCGGACGCCGGAGAGCUCCGCAGCAAUUCAGCACACGGCAGUGCGAGACAGGAGGUCAAGCACAGAAACAAAAUAGAACAUCCGGUUAAUUUUCAAAAGAAAAUAGACCGUGCUCACGGCGGAUCAUAUUUCCCUGCGCUACACCUUGAAAACAGCAGAGUUGUUUCCUCUCUAUUUUCUUUGCAUGGAAACAAACUGUUGAUGGUUUUUGUGGUUCUAUUUUACAUGAAGUUCCGAGAUCUUGUGGCUCCUCGAGACAGCUCCGAUUUGUUGCGGACAGCUUCAGCUGUCCAUGUCUGACAGCUGAAGCUGUCCGCAACAAAUCGGAGCUGUUCCGCAACAAAUGCGGACCGGGUGAGUAUUGAUUGACGGCGGAGCACGGAAGCCGAUCUGCAGCCGUUAUGCAUCCUGUGGAAAGUGGGGGUCAGCCUGCAAGGAAAGGCUGUUAAUCAGUUAUUUUGCAUUUCAUGCCUUUACAUACACUUUAUAAAGCAUACAUGUAUUUAUAGGUGGAAGAGUUCAAUAGAUGCAUCUAAGUAAUGCUAAUUAAAGUGAUCCAGUAGUUCUGUUGUCCUUAAUAUAGGCACAUGAUACCUCCUGUAAAGCCUGACUGGUUCACUGAUUGCCUCUAUGAGUCAUUACAACAGCAGCUGCACUUUUUUUAUUUUCAUCAAUGUGUGGCAGCAACAUUAAUUGCAUUUGCUAGGAAAGCAUAAGCGAGCAAGCAGGUGAUUCAGAGAGGAUAAUCAAUGAGUGUUGUGUCAUUACAGGUCACUUCAUCUGUUUUUGACCCCGUGUGCUGGCUCCCUCAUUUUUCACAAUGUCCCUGUAGGAUUUGUUUUUCUACAUUGUCACAUGUCAACUUUGUAGCACACACUGCUUCAUACAAUCUCCCCCCCCCCCACACACACACAGGUACACAACACAAUUCCUGUACAUUGUUAAAACAUAAAAUACAGAUACAUAGAUAACUAGAAU